rnacentral:tRNA from 2 species
GGGGUCGUAGCGCAGUUGGGAGCGCGUCGCCUUCGCAAGGCGAAAGUCGUGGGUUCGAAUCCCAUCGACUCCACCA